UCCUGGUUAACCCAGGCAGUCUCAUUAGAGUUCCCACCUUACGUGUUGGCAACUAAUGAUAAGGGUUGCGCUCGUUGCUGGACUUAACCAAACACCUCACGGCACGAGCUGACGACAGCCAUGCAGCACCUAUUCAGCGACCCUUGCGGGAAUUGUCAUCUCUGACAACGUCCCCUGAAUUUCGAACCCAGGUAAGGUUCUUCGCGUUGCAUCGAAUUAAACCACAUGCUCCACUGCUUGUGCGGGCCCCCGUCAAUUCUUUUGAGUUUCACCCUUGCGAGCGUACUCCCCAGGCGGUAUACUUAUCGCGUUAGCUACGACACAAUCAGGGUUGAGCCUAAUUACAUCAAGUAUACAUCGUUUACGGCAAGGACUAC
rnacentral:misc_RNA from 1 species